AUGGCCAGUGCUCUGCUCCUCCUCACCAUCCUCACUCAGGGCACAGGGUCCUGGGCCCAGUCUGCCCUGACUCAGCCUCCCUGUGCAUUUGGGGCUCUGGGACAGUCAGUCACCAUCUCCUGCGCUGGAAGCAGCAAUGACAUUGAGUGUUAUAACCAUGUCUCCUGGUACCAACAUAGCUUGGACACAGUCCCCAAACUUCUGAUUUUUGCUAUCAGUUCUUGGCCCUCAGGGAUCCCUGCACACUUCUCUGCCUCCAAGUCUGGCAACAUGACUUCCCUGACCAUCUCUGGGCUCUAG